UGCAGUCGAGCGGGCCCUUCGGGGUCAGCGGCGGACGGGUGAGUAACGCGUGGGAACGUGCCUUCUGGUUCGGAAUAACCCUGGGAAACUAGGGCUAAUACCGGAUACGCCCUUUUGGGGAAAGGUUUACUGCCGGAAGAUCGGCCCGCGUCUGAUUAGCUAGUUGGUGGGGUAACGGCCUACCAAGGCGACGAUCAGUAGCUGGUCUGAGAGGAUGAUCAGCCACACUGGGACUGAGACACGGCCCAGACUCCUACGGGAGGCAGCAGUGGGGAAUAUUGGACAAUGGGCGCAAGCCUGAUCCAGCCAUGCCGCGUGAGUGAUGAAGGCCUUAGGGUUGUAAAGCUCUUUUAUCCGGGACGAUAAUGACGGUACCGGAGGAAUAAGCCCC
rnacentral:rRNA from 1 species